UCGGAAACUCCGCAGUCUGCCUCCUCUUGUUUCUGACUUCUGAGAGAGAGACAGAGAGGCGCACCCUUCCUGUAUUCAUCACCGUAUCAUCUUUCCUCUUCCUCUCCUUUACCUAAUUCUUUAAACACCCCGCAUCUCUCUCUCUCUCUCUGUGUGUGUGUUUUUGUGUGUUUGUAGAUUCGCGAUGAGAGAGAUUGGAUUGGCUGGCAAGCAAAAGUUCCCAAGAGAGAGCCCGUAAAUCCUUCUUCAAGGCCACUAAACCCCAACAAUUCCUCAGUCGAUCCGGAGCGCCUUCUGGAGGCGGAUUCACCCGAGUCGAAGGUCCGCCCACCUGCGGUAAUGGGGGAAGGAGAAGAUGAGAUUCGCCUCAGGUACUCGUCAGCCCUCUCCGUGGAAGAAGUCGUUAGGAGGAGGUCUGACAGAGUGAGACGCCUCUCUGGGAUUUACAGGAACUGGUACUGGACGCUAAUGGAGGAGAUGAGGUUCAAGUACAGAGAGUAUUAUUGGAAGUUUGGGAGAAGUGGGUUUAACGAGGAAGAGGAAGGAGAAGGAGAUGAAGAAGAGCGCGUGAAUGGAGGCAGAGAACGUGUGUUGCUAACGGGUCGCAAGAACGGCGAAUAUGUCAUCCCCGCGAGAAUGGAGGAGGAUGGUUGUGAGUUUCUGGAUGGAGAAGAGGUGGGUGCAUUGGGAUUCAUUGAUACAGUGGGGCAAGAUGGUGGUGGUUUUGAAGAUAGCAGCGGGGAGAAUGGUAUUGGGCUUCCCGGGAGUGGUUUUCCAGCGAGUGGCGACGAUGGGUUAUUUGGCGAGACGGGACAUUACGGUUUUGGGUUCUCUGAGAGAGUGUUUCCGGCCAAAGUGAACGGGAAGAGUUGUGGGUUUGCGGAGGAGCUUGGGUAUACGGAGAAGAUGGGGCAAGGCGGAUGUGAAUUUCUUGGAAUGAGCGGGAAUAAAGGGUUCGUCUUCCCGGAGAUUGGUUUUCCGGCGAAGGGUCAGAGCGGACAUGGGAUCGGGAUGAGGCCCGAAGACGACAGUUAUGGCAUCAUGGGGAGCGGCUUUCCUUCAAAAACAGAAAAGGGUGGACGCGAGUUUGCGGAGAACUCCUUGGAAAGUGGAUGUGGAUUUUCAGGGAAUGAUUUGCCCGGGAAAGUUGGACAAGAUACGUAUGGUUUCUCAAGGAAAGCUGGUGAAAAUGAACUCAGGGUUCCGGACCGUAGGUUUCCUUUAAGCACAGUUCAAGGAGAUUCUAUUAUUCAGACGAAAACCAGUGAAAAUAGUGCAGUUUGUCCAAUCAAGACGAGCGAUAGCCACUGUGGAUUUGUGGGAUGCAAGUUGAAACCAAUGGCGCUUUGCAGUUUCUGUCAUUCGCACAUUCUGUUGGAUAGCAAACAACAACUGUAUAAAGCAUGCUCCUAUGUGAUUAAGAGUGGACAAGCAGGUCCUAUUAUUUGUGGGAAACCAGUCCUUAGAGCAGCUGUGCCUUCCCUCUGUGCUUUGCACUUCCAGAAAGCCCGAACGCAUGUUGCUAGGUCACUGAAGAAGGCGGGUCUUAAUAUGUCCUCUUCGAACAAGCUUGCUCCAAAGUUUCAUGUUAUAAUUUCUGAAUACGUACACUACAUUCAGACUAGAAGAAGAGGUACAUAUCAGAGAAAUCAGAUUCACAAUAAAAACUCGAGUGCCAAAACAUUUGUCAUUGUCAAGGAUGAGAUCAUAUAGUGAGACUUGUGCCAAGUGCUGAUGGAAUUUAAAGCCUUCGACAAUUUUAACAUUCAUAUUACAGACCCUACCAGCCUGAUGGUAAACAUAUACAAAGUUAUAUAUGGUGCCUUCCACUAUCCAACUGGGACAUGUUCUAGUACAUGGGAUUUGGGCACAGAAUAUGGAAGUUGCAUCCAGAACAUAUAUAUUGUGCUUAAAAUGCUUACUAUCAACAUAAGAUGAUGGGUAAGUUUUCGCUGAGAACUGAACAAUUUUUGGGUAUUUCACUGUCACGAUAAGAUCUGAUUCUCACAGACUGGAUGCUGUGUUGCAUCGUUCUUUGACCCAGCUAAGUUCAUUAGGCUCUUAUGCGUACGGUGGGAAGCUGCUUUUACAGUAGAAAUAUUGGGCAUGUGCUGUUCACUUGGUUGGACAUUGCACAAUGAGCCAAGACUUGCCUCUUCAAGCUUCUAAGUUGUUGGUUGCAUAAGGUUCCUGCCCAGUAUUUGCUAGACGAGAUGCUAUCAGCUAUGAUGAGAUUUUGCAAAUUACAUUCGGUGCCUGUUUUGAAUAAGUUGCAUUCAUGGGAAUAUCAAAAACCAAGAAGGAUGGCUGCAAAAGCACUUUGUGCAGCAUAAAAAUACUGAAUUCGUGAAAGGUUUUGUACGGUGGAAGCUUUAUCGUGUUCAGGU